AUACGUAGGUGACAAGCGUUAUCCGGAUUUACUGGGCGUAAAGGGCGUGUAGGCGGUCUUGCAAGUCAGAAGUGAAAUUCCUGAGCUCAACUCGGGCGCUGCUUUUGAAACUGCCGGACUUGAGUGCUGGAGAGGAGAGUGGAAUUCCCAGAGUAGCGGUGAAAUGCGUAGAGAUCGGGAGGAACACCUGUGGCGAAAGCGGCUCACUGGACCACAACUGACGCUGAUGCACGAAAGCGAGGGGAGCAAACAGGAUUAGAUACCCUGGUAGUCCUAGCCCUAAACGAUGAUUGCUUGGUGUGUCGGGUACCCAAUCCCGACGUGCCGAAGCUAACGCGAUAAGCAAUCCGCCUGGGGAGUACGGUCGCAAGACUGAAACUCAAAGGAAUUGACGG
rnacentral:rRNA from 1 species